AACAAACGCUGGCGGCGUGCAUAACACAUGCAAGUCUAACGGGAAAGUCGGCUUCGGCUGGCAAGUACCGUGGCGAACGGGUGAGUAACACGUGGGUAAUCUAACCUCGAGUUUGGGAUAACCCUGCGAAAGCGGGGCUAAUACCGAAUAAGACCACGCCCUGCACGCAGGGUGCGGUAAAAGGUGGCCUCUUCCUGAAAGCUAUCACUUGAGGAUGAGCCCGCGGCCUAUUAGCUAGUUGGUAGGGUAACGGCCUACCAAGGCGACGAUGGGUAGCCGGCCUGAGAGGGUGUACGGCCACACUGGCACUGAGAUACGGGCCAGACUCCUACGGGAGGCAGCAGUGGGGAAUUUUGCGCAAUGGGGGAAACCCUGACGCAGCAACGCCGCGUGAGUGAUGAAGGCCUUCGGGUCGUAAAGCUCUUUUAGUGGGGAAGAAGCCCUCCAGGGCUAAUACCUCUGGGGUCUGACGGUACCCACAGAAAAAGUUCCGGCUAACUACGUGCCAGCCGCCGCGGUAAUAC
rnacentral:rRNA from 1 species